AGAACUCACGUGGAGUAGGAGCAGUACCUCCCGUCCUAUCUUGGUGCAGAGGUGGCUGUAACAACCGCUAACGUGGUGGGAGGAGAGAUACAGCUUAUUCUUUGUGAAGCAACGGUAAGGCUCAUUGGCGGGGCCCUGGGUUGCCUUGUCACCACAGUGAGGAAGGAAUCUGCCCUGCCGCUCUCCCUCCCUGGGUGCCUGGCCAUGCGCUCAGCUCCUCCUCCUUCCCCUCAAUGCCACUCAGUGGCCUGUGAUGGGACUGCUGCAAAGAUAGAUCCCACAGAUGAGAGCUGCCUGAAAUUCACUGAGGAAACAGACUUAGGAGUUUCCAUUUUGGAAGAUGGAAAACGUUCUGGAAAUGGAUGGUGGUGGGGGUAGCAGAACAACGGGAAGUCUCAGCUUUCGAGAAGCUUUCUCUGGAGAGGAGAGCCCCAGAGGAUUCGACAAUCACCGUCGGCCCCGUAACCCUGGCAGGUAGAGCUCACCUUUGGCUUCCUCUCGUGCCUUCCCAGGUGUGUUCGCAGGCUGGCGCCCAAUCCACUGUGACACACCAGCCAGGGUGAGAUUGGGAUCUUUGAAAGCUCUCCGGGUAAUGGCACUGUGCAACCCAGGCUGACCACUGUGGCGCUGAAGUUCAGACAGGAGGCCUGUGGCCCCCGAGAGCGAAGGAGGAGCUGCAAGGACGCAAGAGCCAACGACGCAACAGAGCGGCGGCUUCCCGAGGCACAGUCGUGUGCCAGGCAGGCUGCUUCCCGUGGGCAGGGUCAUUGACCUGAAGCUGACUCGGUCUUUGCGCACCCAGUGACAUGAAGGCCCGCCUUGCGUGUUGAGGACAUGGUUUUGUGAAAUUUACAAUAAAAGAAAUGGUCGCUUUUCUGCCAGUCAUGCUAUCUGGGCUCUUCCCUUUGCCUUGACUCUUGAGGCCUGAGAGGGGUGUGGCCAAAACAAACCUGUUCACGCCCUGUCCUGUGCGUGUCUGCUGACUG